UCCAUGGUGUUUGAUAUUCAUUCUCUAAAUUGGUAGAACUUUUCGGAAUUACAGUCUUAGCAUAUUCAGGACUGUUGGGCUUUAAAAACGUUGGGGGCUUUUUUGUCGCUAUUGGAGGAGCUUGACUAAAAGCCUUGCAACUAUCACUAUCUUCAUUAUUUUUGAUCGGAAUAGGUCUUUGAAUUGUAGAUUUGAAACCAAGUGGGUUUGCCGAAGUAGUAACCGUAGCGGGGAGAGCCAAGAAACCUUUUAAUAAAG